rnacentral:tmRNA from 1 species
GGGGGUGCGUGCUUUGACAGAGGAGAGAGGGACCGCUUGCAAGCCGAGCUUCCGGGAUACGCUCGUAAAUUCAUUCCCGGGGCAUACAACUGCCAACGUAUUUGAGCCCCAACGGGCUUACGCCUUCGCGUAAUUUCGAAGGCCAUCUGUCUCUUGAUUCUCAAUAGGGAAAACAGGUGUCACUCAUUGAGAUAGGUUGAGUGCCGUAUGGAUUCCAGGGCAACCAACUAAAACCUACAAGGAAUCCUCAGAAGAAGGGUUUUGCCCAAUUUCCACCUUCUUUGAAAUUUACCAAUUGGGAUACGCUUGAAGACGGCUGUUCUAAACUUUUCUGGACGGGAGCUCAUCCUCCCCACCUCCACCA